GACGCCUCGAUAGCUCAGUUGGGAGAGCGUCAGACUGAAGAUCUGAAGGUCCCUGGUUCGAUCCGUCCCCGCCCGGUCGCCUCG
rnacentral:tRNA from 1 species